CAGUCGCCGCGGGAAUACGUAGGGUGCGAGCGUUAAUCGGAAUUACUGGGCGUAAAGCGUGCGCAGGCGGUUUUGUAAGACAGGCGUGAAAUCCCCGGGCUCAACCUGGGAAUGGCGCUUGUGACUGCAAAGCUAGAGUGCGGCAGAGGGGGAUGGAAUUCCGCGUGUAGCAGUGAAAUGCGUAGAUAUGCGGAGGAACACCGAUGGCGAAGGCAAUCCCCUGGGCCUGCACUGACGCUCAUGCACGAAAGCGUGGGGAGCAAACAGGAUUAGAUACCCCAGUAGUCCCUGUCUCUUAUAA
rnacentral:rRNA from 1 species